rnacentral:tRNA from 1 species
ACUAACCCUGGUCUGGUUAGUAUGU